rnacentral:rRNA from 1 species
UACGUAGGGGGCUAGCGUUGUCCGGAUUUAUUGGGCGUAAAGAGCGUGUAGGCGGCCAUGUAGGUCCGUUGUGAAAACUCGAGGCUCAACCUCGAGACGCCGAUGGAAACCGUCGUGCUAGAGUCCGGAAGAGGAGAGUGGAAUUCCUGGUGUAGCGGUGAAAUGCGCAGAUAUCAGGAAGAACACCCGUGGCUAAGGCGGCUCUCUAGUACGGUACUGACGCUGAGACGCGAAAGCGUGGGGAGCGAACAGG